UACGUAGGGUGCGAGCGUUGUCCGGAAUUAUUGGGCGUAAAGAGCUCGUAGGCGCCCUGUCGCGUCGGAUGUGAAAGCCCGGGGCUUAACCCCGGGUCUGCAUUCGAUACGGGCAGGCGUAGAGUGUGGUAGGGGAGAUCGGAAUUCCUGGUGUAGCGGUGAAAUGCGCAGAUAUCAGGAGGAACACCGGUGGCGAAGGCGGAUCUCUGGGCCAUUACUGACGCUGAGGAGCGAAAGCGUGGGGAGCGAACAGG
rnacentral:rRNA from 1 species